rnacentral:rRNA from 1 species
AUUGAACGCUGGCGGCAGGCCUAACACAUGCAAGUCGAGCGGAGCGGCGGACGGGUGAGUAAUGCCUAGGAAUCUGCCUGGUAGUGGGGGAUAACGUCCGGAAACGGGCGCUAAUACCGCAUACUAUCAGAUGAGCCUAGGUCGGAUUAGCUAGUUGGUGGGGUAAAGGCCUACCAAGGCGACGAUCCGUAACUGGUCUGAGAGGAUGAUCAGUCACACUGGGACUGAGACGCGGUCCAGAAUCGUACGGGAGGCAGCAGUGGGGAAUAUUGGGCAAUGGGCGCAAGCCUGAUCCAGCCCUGCCGCGUGUGAGAAGAAGGGCCUCGGAUUGUAAAGCACUUUCAGUUGGGAGGCGUUGCCCACCGAAGAAGCACCGGCUAACUUCGUGCCAGCCGCCGCGGUAAUUC